rnacentral:lncRNA from 10 species
CAUGUUGAUGAACAAUCGUCUCCCUUUUCCACACGCUGCUUCUUACUGCUCGCCGCAAUUCUGAAAAAAAAAUUUUAAAGUCAUCUUUUCAGUGGUGCUAUUCAGGUGAAUCCAAAAAUCCAACUCCAUCAAGCUUUCAGCCAUGUACAUGUGUGUGUGUCUAUGUGUAUUUAAACCAUAUAUAGUUUACCUUAAUUUUAUAACAAAGUUGAUUAUACAAACUUGGCAAACUUACUUUCUUACCUCACUAGUUCGGCCUGUGAAUCAAGUUGUCACUGGAGCAGUGUGAAACAAGAGAUUCAGAAAUGGUUAUGUGGGUUGGUGGUAUGCAAAACAGAACCAUAUUCAGAAGUGAGUUGAGUAACACAAUAGGACACAUUCAGGUACGUUUGACUUCAGAUAACAGAAUGCCACAGUAGGAAAAGGAGUCAGCUGAAAUAAUUAAGAAAAAGGAGUGUUUUUAAGUUCCUGUUAGGAGCUACGUCAAUAAGCAUCAAGUCAAGCUUUGCAAGAAAACUAGAAAGUAGAGAACUCUACCACUAUGCUGGUAUGUUUUCAUCUUAGAAAAAGUGCUUGUGCAAUAAGACCUCAAGUCUGUUGAAGUUCUUAUAAGAUGACAGCAUUAUUUUAGGAGAGGGCUAAAAAUAAGAAUCACAGAAUGUUAAGAGCUGGAAAGAACCACAGAGUUUUGAUUUUACUUCACUUUAUUUUGCAAGUAGGGAAACUGAGCAAAGAUAGUUUAACUGUGAAGCCAGGACACUGGUCAUAUUCUAAUGUUUGGAGCUUUUUCUGCUACUUCGUGUCAAAAUCAUUUUACAAAGAAAAUUAUAUUGGGUUCUUUGAAAGCAACCAAGUAAAUCAUAUUUUAAUAAAAAGCAACACUUUACACUUCUAUUCUCACCAGUGAUCCACCCAGUUCUUCAUUAUCUUUGACAGUGGCAUUACCUAAGGGAGAUUAUGAUAGCUGUCUUGUAUAAUCUCAGCUAUAAAAAUAACAUACAUCAAGUAAUCACAUAUUUUCCCUGAUCCAUUUUAGAUCUAUAAGUAGUAUCAAAAUACUACUUGAACCUUAUUUUCAGCUUUUAUGAGGAUGAAAACACAGGGCUAUGUAUAAGGCAGUGUUCUUACCACUUUAAAUGCAUUUAAUCCUCACAACCCUUUAAGAUAAGUAGAAUUACUCCAAUUUUACAGAUGAGAAAACCAAGGCACAGAGAAGUUAUAAGUUGCUCAAGGUUAUAUAGUUGAUGGAUACCUCUAGCAUGAAAAGUACUUUGACAUUAUUUUAGUGCAUAUACCUCUAGAUAGUUUUUGGUCUGGAAGAAAAAAAUGUUCAUCCAAACUCUUCAUUUCUUUCAGCAUCCUCUCAUAUUCUGAAGACCUUGGUUUUUCUAGAUAUAGAUCUGGAAUGCCCUCCUUCCUUUAAAUUUUACUUAGGAUAUUUUCUAAAUAAAAAAUGAUAUGCUAACCAGAACUCCACAGAUGCCCUCUGGUUUCAGAUAAUGUAAGGAAGAUGUUGCCUACUUGAAUUCUAAUACCUGCUUUUCAACUUGGUUCUCACCUUAUCCCACUGAAAAUCCUACAAAAUUUUACUGCAGCGCAAUCAUGCUAAACUAACUUCUCUGCCUAAUUUGAAUAUUAUGUGUACUUAAAAAGAGGUACCAAAGAAAAAUUUUCUGAAUACUAAAAAAAAAUACUUGUAGUAAAAGUCUGUCUGUCUAGCCAUAAUUGAACCUAAGGUUUUACAUUGACUUUGACUUUUUCUCCCCACUCUUCAGCCAGUAUGUCAGGCUAUAUAAUGGUGAGAAUAAAGCCAUAUCUUUAAUACUUACUAGACAUUCCUAGAAAAACUUGUGCCAGAAAGUAAGAAAGUAUUCGGGGCCAGGUGCAAUGGCUCAUGCCUGUAAUCCCAGCACUUUGGGAGGAUUACCUGAGCCUGGGAGUUCAAGACCAGCCUGGGCAACACAGUGAAACCCCAAUCUCUUAAAAUAAAUAAAUAAAAAAUUAAAAAAAUUUUUUUAAUUAGCUAGCCACGGUGACAUGAGCCUGUAGUCCCAGCUACUUGGGAGGCUGAAGUGGGAGGAUUGCUUAAGCCGAGGAGUUUGAGCCUGCAGUGAGCCAUGAUUGCACCACUGCACUCCAGCCUAGGUGACAGAGCAAGACUGUCUCAAAGAAAAAAACAACAGAACAUAAGAAAGUAUUUAAAAAUGGAUAGGUUUGGGUUUUUCUUUUUUUUUUACCCUUCUUUCCCUUUCUGAACAAUCCAGUCCUAUGGAGCAAGCAAGCAUCCAUAGGAGGGUGAGAGAGCCCAAGAAAAAGGGCUCCCUCCAGAAGAGGAGGCAGCAACAGUAAUGGGAAUUAGUCACACAUAGGGCUUUGAUCAAGUCACUAUAUUAAGGAUCAUGGGAGCCACCAGGUUUCUCAUCAUCCAAAAAGCCAGUAUAAGUAAAACUAAAAUGAACCAUGAAAUUUUAAAACUGGAUGUAUCAGUGUAAACUCAAGGUUUACAUAUAUUUAUAGACAGAGACAUAGAAAUACAGAUACAUGUGUUGUGCUAGAAAGCAGAAAGGAGUGCUCAAGAAAUGAUGACAUAAGGCUGGGCAUGGUGGCUCACGCCUAUAAUUCUAGCACUUUGGGAGGCCGAGGCAGGUGGAUCACCUGAGGUCAGGAGUUCGAGACCAGCUUGGCCAAUAUGGUGAAACCCCAUCUCUACUGAAAACACAAAAAUUAGCUGGACAUGGUGGCAUAUGCCUGUAAUCUCAGCUACUUGGGAGGCUGAGACAGGAGAAUCGCAUGAACCCGGGAGGUGAAGGUUGCAGUGAGCUGAGGUUGCGCCACUGCACUCCAACCUGGGUGACAGAGCAAUACUAGGUCUCAAAAGUAAAUAAGUAAAUAAAAAAAGUAAGGAAAUGACAUGUCAAAAGAUACAAAAGCUAGUCACUAGGCCAAAUCAGACCAUUUGAGCAACAAAGUAAGGACAGAAAUGAACCAAAGCCACUGGAGAAAAACAGAAAUUAAUGAAUUCAUACCAAUGAUAAGUAAAUGGGGCAAAGGAUGCUGCAGAAUGCUGACUGCCAAUUGCUUAAAUGCAGAAGGAAUGCUGGAAUUAGAAGACAGUUCUUAUAACCAUCAUACUAAAGACUGGUUCUAGCAAGCACCAUCAAUGGAUGGACACUAAAUCUAGGGGGAUACAAUUUCUUUUUGCUUAUCAAAUCAAAAUCAGAAUUACCACUGAGGGCUGAUAGACAUCAGUGCCUCCAGAUAUGAGGCCCGGAGAAAAGCACAUCACUUACUGUCCCUAGCCUGAAAUGCAUACCCUGCAUCCAACCAGCAGGACACACCAGAAACUGCCCCAAGUGAGAAGCAUGUUUUGAAGGGCAGGGCAGGGGAAGCAGACUUUUCUUCAAAAAUGUCAAUGUCAUAAAAAAUACGAGCUGUGUAAAUAUCCCAGAAAAGUUUAGAAAGACUUGGUACCUAAAGCCAAUACCCAAUCCUAGACUGGAUUCUGUUCUAGAAAGGAAUUACUAAAAAGAACAUUAGAUCAACUAACAAAACUAGAAUAUGGAGGGCAGAUUAGACAUAAAUACUAAAUCAAUGUUAAAUUUACUCAAGUUAACAAUAUACUUUGGUUAUGUAACAAAAUAUAUCCCUAUUAGGAAAUAUACACUGUAAUACUUAAGGGUAAAGGGUGGUGAUGUAUACAACUUAGUCUUAAAUGGUUCGGAAAAAAAUAAAUACUGUGUAUGUAUAGAAAGAGCAUGCAAAUGAUGAUGCAAAUAGCAUAAAGUGUUAACAGUAGGUAAUCUGGAAAAAGGAUAUAUGAGUGGCCCUUUGUAUUAUUAUCCUUGCAAUUUUUUAUAAGUUUGAAAUAUUUCCAAACAAAAUAGUUUAAAAAGACAGGAGCUACCUUGAAGGGGAUUCUACUGGGCAAAUUUUGGACAAUUUCAACACCAAAAUGAAUCAUGACUGGAAUGGACUAUAAUACAUUGACUUCAGAAUAAGAAACAAUCAGUCCAGCUGAUGCUUAAAAAAAAAUCAGUUUCUAAGAGAAGAAAAGCUCUUCUUUCCAAAAGCCAAAUAACAAUUACAGAAAGUGAAAGAAAUAGAAAAUCACCAUUUAUAUCCAAUAUAAUAACUAAAGUAAGACUCAGCCCUGUGUACUAAAACCACUGAGUGAAAGGUAAGGAAUGAGAUAUUCACAUAGUAUUAGAUUUCUCACUAAUUACAAAGGAUAAAGGGUACCUUUACAAUGGAAAAACCUGGCAGACACCACCUUAACUAAGCAGUCAAACUACCACUCCCUUAAAAGACAGAGCUGGUACCAUGUGUCUACUGAUAAAUGCUCAAACACAUCACCUUGAAAGUAUUCCUACCAAAAACAUUCGACCUGAGUCUAACUGAGGAAACAAGCAGCUAACAAAUCUGAAUGGAGGGACACACUGAACAGCAGCUGGCCUGGGCACUGCAAAAUGUCAAUGUCGUGAAAGACAAAAAAGGCUGAGGGACUAGUUUAAAAGCAGCUAUCAAUAUGCAUCAUCCUUGAAUAACACCUGGAUCCGACAAAAAGCUGUAAAGGACACCAAAACAACUGGAGAAUAUUAAAUUAUACACAAGGUAGCAGCAUUAUAUUAAUGCUAAGUUUCUUGAGUAUGAUCGUUGUUCUUUAGCUAUGUAGAAGAACACCAUUGUUUUUUGUUUUUUGAGACAGGGUUUCACUCUUGUUGCCCAGGCUGGAGUGCAAUGGGGGGAUCUCAGCUCACUGCAACCUCCACUUCCCAGGUUCAAGCAAUUCUCUUGCCUCAGCCUCCUGAGUAGCUGGGACUACAGGCACACACCAUCAUGCCCAGCUAAUUUUUGUAUUUGUAGUAGAGACAAGAUUUCACCAUGUUGGCCAGGCUGGUCUCAAACUCCUGGCCUCAGGUGAUCUACCCGCCUCGGCCUCCUGAAGUGUUGGGAUUACAGAAGUGUUGGGAUUACAGGCAUAAGCCACUGCUCCCAGUCGAAUGCCAUUGUUCUGAGGAGAAACAUGCUGAAGUGUUUAUAAGAAUCACAAUGUCUGCAACUUAAAUGGCUUGGCAAAAUAUGUGUGUGUGAAAGAAAAAGUAAAUAUGGCAAAUGUCAACAUCAGGUAAAUAAAAAAAAUUUAAGAUAAAUACUUUUUUCACAUUACUUCAUUUAACAACUUAAAACUUAGGAAAGCAGAAAUCAACUACCUACUGCUGAGAAUGAGAAGGAGGUAGUUUUAAAAACAAGGUAAGGCUUUAGAAGAGUGAAAAAAGGUCUGUAGGUCUGAAAUCGACUUUCGGGGAGCUGAGGAAACCUGGGGUGGGUGCAGGUCCUACGCAGUACUGAAGGCCUAAUUGAAGCUGGAGACAAAACAGUGGUUUACCACGUUCCAACCUCCUAGUUCCAUUGGCCUAGAAUUUCACAAUGCUGGAAGCUAUUAACUAAGGACUGCCUUUCAUGGAAAUUUAUAACAAUUUUCAGUGUAAGCAGUCUUGUUACUGAUAUAUUCAGGGACUGCUUAUACUUUUUACAGACGAAAAAAUUCUCCUAAAUCCUUUUUUAAAUGAAAAUGUUAUUUUAUACCAAUCUAAAACUUGUAUUCAGUUUAACAUCUUGGUUUUGCAAAAGAGGUGGUCUGUAUUCAUGGAAACCCAAUGCUGCUUCUGAGGUAAAUUUAAAAGACAACUAGCUGCGAGAGACAAGAUACUUCUAAAUACUUUAUGGUAGGACAGUAAGUAUUGACUCAUGGUGCCCCUUGUUAACAGGAGGAAAAAAAAUUACAAGGAAAAGACACAAUGACAAUAUGAUGCUUUGGUCUUCUUUAGUCCUCCAUAAACUAAAGCAGAGUAACAGAGAACUGAGUCUCCCGAACUCUCUUGAGAGAUGACUCCAGAGUCAUAAAUAUAACCACAGGCCCACAAUGUACAAUGUCCACAAACUUGGGACCCCCAUAAGAGAUUUCUUACCUACCUCUUUUGGGAGGAAAGUACAUAGUAAUAAAUAAUGAAAAUGAAUUUAUUUUCCUUUUUUUAGAAGGGUAACCUCUACCAGUAUGGAAUAAGAGAAAGCUGGUAUAACUAAAGAAAUGCCUUAUCUCUACCUUAUUUAUAGAGUAGACAUGCAAACCCAAAACGUUCUGUACAUUUGAACCAGCUGAACGUUCCCAUCUAAUAUUAAGGCCUGUGCAUCCUGAAGUUUUGAAAUCAAAACAUUUCUAUAUUCUGUAACUGAUUUCUGUAAUGUGUAACAGUCCUCUCUUUCAGACUCCUUAAGAUGCCUGUUCACUACUUUAUCCUUCAAGGCUCUCCUUGCUACUGAAGAGAGGAAGGACUGGUGUAGGGCACUGAAAAGAUUAAAAGGCCAAAUUCAAAAGAACUCUCCAAAUACUCUCUAUCGGUCCUUUGAAUAUUUUGAUACAGAGUUUUGAUACCAGUUAAAAAAACUGAACAGCAGUUUCUGCCUUGUAUCUAACAAGGCAGAACAAUUUGAAUUCACUAACAAGAAAACACUUUCUUGUCUUUCACCUUAUUUUUAUCUAUCUAUCUAUCUAUCUAUCUAUACACACCUUAUACUAUUUAAACUGUAAAAUUCUUUUUGGUAGUAAGAUCAAUUCUCAAACUGCUAAAGUAGAAGAUCAUAUUCUCAAAGCAGGUAAAUAUAAUCUCUUACCUUCCCAUAAAGAAGUAAACUGUGUCAGCUUCUUUGUGGAUCAAAAUCAGAAGACCAAGAGGAA